rnacentral:lncRNA from 1 species
CUCACAGCCUCCUGGCAGAGCUCACGUUCCCCGCAUCUCUCGCUUGCUGACACCGCAGCGUCCUGGCUUGUGUACGGGCUCUCCAAGGUGGAUGACAAAGCCUGGGAUUCCUUGCUGGAAAUAAUGUGCAUUUAUUGGCAUGGAAAUCACCACCCAGGCAAGUGAGGAAAGUCUCAGAAAGGACGUUUGUUAUGCAAACGUGACCCUUGUUGGCAGGUUCCUGGCAGAGUGUAACACGAUGGCGACCGCGGGGAGUGGUUCCUUGCACAUACGAAGUAAUAUGUUUGCAAACGAAAAGCGUGAUCACCUCUACUGUGCGGACAAGGCCUCCAGGAACCUGAUUUCCUCUCCCUGUCUUGGGGAUUUACAUCUCAGCAGGUGAUCGGACCGUGGUCAGCCAGGGGGAUCGCUUUUCGGAAAUGACUUGGAAACGGGGCGGCGGGGGGGGGGGCGUGAAUUUCCAUGUCCCCAAAGCAGAGGUCUUUUUUCCAGCCUCGACCAGACAUGCUUGCUGGAUGGCACCCUCCUCCAAGAUCGCAGCGGAUAAGGAGUCCUUUCGAGGGCUCUUUGUGCUUUCAAAGGUCCGCUGGCUGUUAUCAUGCAAAUAGUGUACUGUUAGAAAUUUUGCCCCUUUGAAAAAUAAAGAAAUAAAAAGUGACACAGU